AGAGGGUGACACUCCCGUCCGCCUGGCAGAGUGAGUCAUUUGUCGUACGAGUCGAGUUGUUUGGGAUUGCAGCUCUAAUUUGGUGGUAAAUUCCAUCUAAAGGCUAAAUAUUGGUGGGAGACCGAUAGCGUACAAGUACCGUGAGGGAAAGAUGCAAAGGACUUUCGAAAAGAGAGUUAAAGAGUAACCUGAAACUGCUGAAACGGAAGCGAAGGAAACCAGUAGUUUGUUUGUUCAUAUUUCCCUAGCCACUUGUGGCUUGGGCGCUGUGGGCUUGCGUGAGUUUGGGUGGUUGAUUCCUUUGGAAGAGCGCAGUCAGAGUUGAUGUCU
rnacentral:rRNA from 1 species